rnacentral:lncRNA from 1 species
GCUGAGAGUAUCAAGAUGUGGAUGAGAGGUGAGGUGACUGGGACACUACUUUGGAGUGGGCUGGUAAGGUCGUGGCAUUAUCUGCAAGUGAUAUGAGAUUGAGGAGGGAAUCCAUCACAUCAUGUAGGAGUCAUUGUUUCUCUAAGGCCACUGACUUACCUUCCAAGGCAUCAUGAAGUCAAGGCAGGAAAAAAGAGAGAAAUGGUAUCUGCAAGCUCUUCUUUCACUCCCUUCCCCUUUGUGAGGAAGCGAAAGCCUCCCUGAAGCCUCCCUGCAGACAUUUGCUCAUCUUUCAUUGGCAAGACUGGGUGAAAUGCCUGUCUCUCACUGACAGUAAUAGGUUAUGGAGGCGGUUCCUUGCCAAUAAAUGCAGGUAAAAAUUGC